rnacentral:snRNA from 1 species
AUCGCUGCUCGCUUUGCUAGAUCAGUGUAGUAUCUGUCUAUCAGUUUAAAUCUGAUAUGUUCUCUACCCGAGAACAACGUAUAAACGGAUUUUUGGAGCAAGGAGUAGAGUGAGAGCUUGCUCGUCACUCACGCAUCGACCUGGUAUUGCAGUAUUUCAGGACUGGUGCACCCCUC